AGCAGCCGCGGUAAUUCCAGCUCCAAUAGCGUAUAUUAAAGUUGUUGCAGUUAAAAAGCUCGUAGUUGAAUUUCGGGAUCAAUGUUUCGGUCAUGCCGUUGGUAUGUACUGAUAUUAUUGGUUUCUCACCUUCUAAAGAACCGUAAUGCCAUUAAUUUGGUGUCACGGGGAAUUAGGACUGUUACCUUGAAAAAAUUAGAGUGUUUAAAGCAGGCUCGCGCUUGAAUACAUUAGCAUGGAAUAAUGAAAUAGGACAUCCGAUUCUAUUUUGUUGGUUUCUAGGAUCGAUGUAAUGAUUAAUAGGGAUAGUUGGGGGCAUUAGUAUUCAAUUGUCAGAGGUGAAAUUCUUGGAUUUAUUGAAGACUAACUACUGCGAAAGCAUUUGCCAAGGAUGUUUUCAUUAAUCAGGAACGAAAGUUAGGGGAUCGAAGACGAUCAGAUACCAUCGUAGUCUUAACCAUAAACUAUGCCGACUAGGGAUCGGAUGAUGUUAAUUUUUAAU
rnacentral:rRNA from 1 species